rnacentral:rRNA from 1 species
AUGUUAAUACCUCAGAUUCACUACCUGGACAGCUUGGAAAUUGGCAAAGAUUGCCCCCCCCCCCACAACAUUCUUCCAAGGUUUGCUGCAUACAACGAUAGCGUGGUCGACAAACUCAUCAAACGUGACAUAGUUCUGCAUAAUCGACUGCCUUUUCCGACGUACGGAAAAUUAAAGAUACGAAAUCCCCACAGCAUCCGCUACGAGUAUGGAGCAAUUGCACAACAGUCAGCGAACACUCCUACUACUCAUAGAACGUUUAAUUCUCUAGUUAACUUGGAGACCCCAACCUUCAACAUUGGAUUGAGCCAAUUUGAGCACGACAACAGCAUCUCAGUACGCAACCAAAUCCCCCGAGUGUCUGCAAACUUAUCGACGGAAUUCAACAUGGUAGCUGAUACAGACGUAGUGCCAGAUACACCAGAUCGGCAGCAACAAGCUGCACAAACAGAUUUUCCUGUCCAAACUCCUACAUCCAUAUCACCUCAUUCUUUAUUACAAGAAAUGAGUGCGGCAAGAAUAUCGAUACAUGAGGAAUGUGGUCUCCCAAAAGUUCAACCCAAAACAAGGAGGAGAAUCAUUGGAGAACCAUCUGAUAUGCUUGUAAACAUACCAAAGCGAAUAAUUAGACCCAGUAGAAUGGUUCAGUCCCCAUUUCUGUGCAAACAAUACAUAAGUGUGAGGGUCGAUGUCAAGGCAUUAGAAGAUUUAUACACAUAUACUAUAUCCAUUACUAAUGAAGAACAACUGAGAAAAAUCUGGGUACACAUGUCUGAACCUGUGCCCAGGUUUUUGAAACUGAAAUAG